AUGUGGUGCGGGAUAGCACCGAAUCCAGCCGGGUCGGCUCCAGAUGCGCGGCGCUGGUGGACCGAGCCCAGCUGGGGGACGGGGCCGGCGGAGCUCCCUCCCUUCCGCGGGGCUGGAACCGGCCCCUGGGCAGCGCCCCCAGCUCCUCCCCGCUCUGUAGGGCCGGUCCGAGCCCCUCCUCCCGUUUCCGCUGGCAGGAGCUGGAGCCGUGUCCUGCCGUGCCUGUGCAGCUCCCUCAGGACUCGGCCCUAUCCGGCUCGGCUCGGCCCGGCCCGGCCCGGCCCAGCCCAGCCCGGCCCAGCCCAGCCCAACGCGGUCCAGGGACGUGCGGGUUUGUUUGGGGACCUUUCCAUUGGCAUACAUCCAGUUGCCUCAAAAUUUAAGAAGUGCAACAUGGCAAGAGGCUGCCUGUGUUGUUUGAAAUAUAUGAUGUUCCUUUUCAAUUUGAUAUUUUGGUUGUGUUUUUGCCAACUUCUUAGAAAUAACAGAGGAACAAAUAAUGUUAAAAUAAAAUUUAAAAGGUAA
rnacentral:lncRNA from 1 species